UGUGCUAAUACCGCAUAAUCUCUCAGGAGAAAAGCAGGGGAUCGCAAGACCUUGCGCUUUAGGAGCGGCCGAUGCCUGAUUAGCUUGUUGGUAAGGUAAAAGCUUACCAAGGCUUCGAUCAGUAGCUGGUCUGAGAGGACGACCAGCCACACUGGGACUGAGACACGGCCCAGACUCCUACGGGAGGCAGCAGUGGGGAAUUUUGGACAAUGGGGGAAACCCUGAUCCAGCCAUGCCGCGUGAGUGAAGAAGGUCUUCGGGUUGUAAAGCUCUUUCAGCCGGAACGAAACGGU
rnacentral:rRNA from 1 species